AUCUAGUGACCCUAGUGUAUAUAAAAAAUGCAGGUAAUGGGUCGUCGUCAUUAUAAUAAUAAACUGACAAUAAUUUGAUGAUAAUUAGAUCUAAAUGGUUACCCUAAUAAUGUUGGGUGGAUAUGCGGUUCUCCUGAAAGAUAAAUGAACAACACAACUAAUAAAUCUUUGGCAACUCAAGGUCAUUCUACAGAGAAACUGGGGAUCCUGAAACAUCAAGUGGGAAAUUUAAUGGAGUGUAAGCAACUACUCAGCAGGAAGGAGCCUGAACUUCUUAAAGUGAUUAGCCAAGCUGAACAGAUUAUAAAAGAAAAUGUUGAAACACAAGAUGAUAAGUUGAAUGAUGCAUCAGCUUAACUAAUUCAGAAACUUAAAUCAAGCACCACUGACCUCAAAGCUAGAUUUAAAAAGGUCAACACAGAAGCUGACAGUCGUGUAGAGAUGUACAGCCAGAUGAGUAACCAUUUAAGCAAAUUUUAUUUGGACAUGGAAGAUAACAAAUGGCUGAAUAAUAGUUUGGAAAGAACUAAAGACCUUCAGUUGCCAUCAGUGGCAUUAGAUUUUCAACUAAAAUUAAUUAAGCCUGUCCCAAGCACAUACAAGACAAUCUGAACAACUUAAAGAUGAAGACUUUGGACUUGAUCCUCAUGGAGCUGCAAAAGAUGAAAUCAAAGACUUCAAAAAGGAUUAGCUUGGCCAAGAUAGAAAGCUGAAAGGUAUUACAUUGUAUUAAUGCUUGAAAUUGUCACCAUCACCUAUCUCUUAGUCUGUUUGAUUGGUGGGGCACCUCACAAGCUCUGUCAACUGUCUUUCUCCAUUCUUCUAAGAAAGAGGCAUUGAUUCAUCUUGCAACUAGGACCAUGUAAAAUAUAUACCAUUUUUGUGAGAGGUUCUAGCAAUAUUAUGAACUCAAAACUUUUGAAGAAGAUAUUCAGAAUGUCUCCUCUUUUAACUUAAAAUAUGAUUCAACUCCACUUUCUUAUGUCAGAACAGUCUAAUUUCUCCUGAAUGUUAUUUAUCAUUAUUUUGAUGACUGUUUGCAAGACAAAAGUCAGCAACAAGAUAUUUUCCUUAACAGGGAGAGAUCUUAAUACAAUUACAUUUAUAGCCCUUUAAGUUGUUAUUUCACCUGUUGUUCCAGCACAUUCCAUUGGUGUUGAAAAGGAGCCUGUUCAGCUUGUGUGUAAAGUCUUUAACUUUUCCUUUCUCUCUUAAUGAUCUCAAAUUCCCUGUUCCUAUAGACAUUUUAUUUUAGCAUGGACCUGUGAUAUACUUAACACUUCUGCCAUUGUCUGUGACCCCAAGCAUGACACUUGGUAACCCAGGUGAUGGCUGAGCUAGUAGGAGUUCAUUUAUGGUCAUAAUGUUAUGGGGUGUUACGAGGGCUAGAUGAUUGCACAGUGGCCCACUGCUGAAAUCCUCCAAUUAGGUGGUUUGCCUUGAUCCUGAACAUGUCCUCAUCUUGGGACUCUUCCCCCUGUCCAGUGCCCCCCAUGCCUUUAAUGCUUGCAUUGUAAUAUACUUUUUUGCAUUUGACAAAGUAUUAUUAUACACAUUAUACACAUUAUAUUAUUAGCAUUUAUUUAAUUUUUUUUUUGUAUUUCUGUAAGCAACUUUAUAAUGUGUUAAAGAAAGUAUUGUUUUUGUGUAUUUAAAUAUAUUCUAUGUGUCAACUGUUCAUUGUUAGCUUAAGAGACUUCUUACUUGGUACUUUUAAUGGCAUUGUAAAGAAACAUUUAUGUUAUGAUUUUGUCAUCAUAUGUAAUCAAGAAAUGAUUUCCUAGUGAUUAUUUCACUCUUAAUAACUAAUAAAUGCUAGACUUAAAAAAAAACAUUUUUCAGUUCCUCAACUUAUGUCAGGUACCCUUUAGACUGAAAAUACAAUUAUGUUAAAUCAAUAGUGAAUAACUUAAGUACAGUUACGUCUUAUUAUGAAAUGAGACUCUUUAGCAAUACACCAACAACAAAACGACAAAAUCUUAGUUUAUAAAUCAUUUAAUCUUAAUUAACACUCUAAACACUAUUUUGUUUUUAUUCCUUCAUUUUGGUUCUCCUCUCCUUUCAACACUCAUUCGCACCGUUCCACAUUUACUCUAUGAUGUGCACGUAACCAUUGACAUGCUUUUUUUUUU